rnacentral:rRNA from 1 species
UACGUAGGGGGCAAGCGUUGUCCGGAAUCAUUGGGCGUAAAGCGCGUGUAGGCGGUCCGGUAAGUCCGCUGUGAAAGUCGGGGGCUCAACCCUCGGAUGCCGGUGGAUACUGUCGGGCUUGAGUACGGAAGAGGCGAGUGGAAUUCCUGGUGUAGCGGUGAAAUGCGCAGAUAUCAGGAGGAACACCAAUUGCGAAGGCAGCUCGCUGGGACGUUACUGACGCUGAGACGCGAAAGCUAGGGGAGCGAACAGG